rfam:Triticum aestivum genome assembly, contig: Triticum_aestivum_CS42_TGACv1_scaffold_434846_5DL
CCGGCAUGAUGAGGAAGGAAAUUGUUGUCUGAUCUAUUUGAUGAUGAAUCGUCCUACUCAUACUAA